GAAAAAAAAGAGGGCCACCACCGCCCAAUAAAAAUGAAAUAAAGAAAAAAUUUAGAGGUGCUUGCAAUCAUUGUGGCCAAAAUAGCCACAUAGAAAAUUAUUGUCACGUAAAAGCUGCUGGUCUGCCUCCAGUCGCAAAAAUAUGCCCCUAUUGUGGUCUCCCCGGGCACGGGGAAAUGGAGUGUCAUGUC